rnacentral:rRNA from 1 species
AUUGAACGCUGGCGGCAGGCCUAACACAUGCAAGUCGAGCGAGCGGCGAACGGGUGCGUACUGUCUAGGAACCUGCCGGUUAGCUGCGGAUAACUACUGGAAACGGUCUCUAAUACGGCAUUCCAUCAGAUUUGCGCAGUGGGGAUUAGCUAGUCGGUGGGGUAACGGCUCACAUAGGCAACGAACCCUAGCUGGACUGAGAGGAUGACCAGCCACACGGGAACUGAGACACGGUCCAGACGCCUACGGGAGGCAGCAGUGGGGAAUAUUGCACAAUGGGCGCAAGCCUGACGCAGCCAUGCCGCGUGUGUGAAGAAGGCCUUCGGGUUGUAAAGCACUGUCAGCGGGGAGGCGUUACCCGCAGAAGAAGCACCGGCUAACUACGUGCCAGCAGCCGCGGUAAUAC